rnacentral:rRNA from 1 species
UACGGAGGGGAGCUAGCGUUGUUCGGAAUUACUGGGCGUAAAAGCGCGCGUAGGCGGCUUUGUAAGUUAGAGGUGAAAGCCCGGGGCUCAACCCCGGAAUUGCCUUUUAAGACUGCAUCGCUUGAAUCCAGGAGAGGUGAGUGGAAUUCCGAGUGUAGAGGUGAAAAUUCGUAGAUAUUCGGAAGAACACCAGUGGCGAAGGCGGCUCACUGGAGCUGGUAUUGACGCUGAGGUGCGAAAGCGUGGGGGA